GCAUAUCAAUAAGCGGAGGAAAAGAAACUAACAAGGAUGCGCUUAGUAACGGCGAGCGAACCGCGCAAAGCCCAACUUGAAAAUCUCCCUCGGAGAAUUGUAGUCUAUAGAAGCGCCCUCUGUGGCGGCCUGAGCCCAAGUCCGCUGGAAAGCGGCGUCAGAGAGGGUGAGAACCCCGUCGGCCCCCGGUUUGCUACUCCACGAGGUGCUUUCCAUGAGUCGAGUUGUUUGGGAAU
rnacentral:rRNA from 1 species